CUAAAAGGAAUUUUCCAGUGGACCUGAAAACUGAUGGGGAACCUGUGACUUGCUAAACUACAACUCCCUGCUGUUCUGGGUAGCGCACUUUUGCUGAAAAUCUGUCAAUAUCUGGAAAGCCCCCAAGUCCCCAACCGAGUUUUUAAACAACACAGGGACCUUGGCACUUUUGAAGCCAAUUUUUACAAACGUGGCAACUUUAAGAUGUUUGGAUUUCAACUCCCAGAAUUCUCCAUUAGCUUUCAUUAAUGGGUUGUGGAAGCUGUUGGAACCGAAGUACAACAUUUACAGUGACUUUCAACAAGUGCUUCACAACCAAAGUAUUUACCAGAGAUGCUGUCCAUUAAAAAUGAGGCUGAGCAACCAAAUGCUGAGUAGACAAUUUGCCUGGCCAGAGAUGGAGGCAGCUGUAGAAGUCACUACUGUACUGGAAGAUUUCCAGCUGAGGACCCUGGAGAUGUGAAUGAGUCUAGACCAGUGCUUCUCAAUCAUGGCAACUUGAAGAUGUGUGGACUUCAACUCUCAGAAGUUGUGGCCUAAGAUUGGCUGGCAGAGAAACAAGCCAAGUGGGCUCUGCUGAAGGAAUUGCUCUGGUACUGAGUCAGGUGAGAACUAGAGAAAUUAGCCCCUAUAUAGGCUUUUCAAUUGGAGGCCUUAAGGAUACCUCAUUUGGAGAGGGGGAGACCACAAUAUUAUUGUAGGCAGGGGAGUGCAUUUCUUUUUUAUUUCUUUUUUCUCCCCCAUCUUCAAAAGCAAGGAAAUUUUUAAAAAGCUGUUCGAACAUUGCAAAUUCAGCAAAGGCUUGAAGGAUACUUUAAGAGUUUGCCUAUUCUGUGGAAUUCUGAAAGGAAAAACUAAGAAAAAAAAGAGUUUUAACAGAGACAGCUUUAACAUUUAAAAGAACAUUUGAGGUUGCUAUCUCCAUGGAAACUGUAUUAUAGAGCAGCACUUAGGAGUGAAAGCAAAUGGGAGUAAUUUAUAGUAGCAUACAGGAAGUAACAGGUCAGAAUGAAUAGUGCUACAGUAGAAGAAGCCAUGUGCAGAAAAUGUAAAUAAAUGUUCAGAAAGCCUGUUACUCGGGAAAAAACCAAGUCAUUUGCUAAAGCAAAACACCAACUCAUUAUUUUAAUCAUGUGUGCCAUGGAUGACAAAACUGAUGCUGAAAGGGAAACAAGGAUAGCUAUUAGCUGACCUGGAAAUUUAUACCAUAGAACAGAGGUCCCCCACCUUUUGGGCAUCAGGGACUGAUUCCAUUGAGAGAGGUUUUCCACAGACCGGAGGGGGUAUAGGUUUGCAUGCUGCUUGCAUCCUGCAGAUGGGGCUUCACUGGUUUGCGCGGACCCGCUUUGUGGCAUGUGGUGGACCGGACUGGGGGUUGGCGACCCCUGCCAUAAAAAGUUAAAAUGAAACCAGCAAAACAGCUCAUAUCAGAAGUGAAUGGCAAUACCCAAUGGCAAUAAUUGGGUAUUGGUUCUGCUGAAACAAGUUAAAACACCAUGUGAAUUUACGCAGCAUUUCAGAUAUGCUAAACAACAGAGAUCUAACUUAUAGUAUACUGGAAGAAAAAUCAUUUGUUUUAGAGUUAUAAUUGUAGACUAGCAUAAAAUAUAAUAAAGAAAAUAUGUUAGAUUUAUAUGUUGUGAAAACAAAUGAAUCAAUGACAAAUGACCUGUGAUGAGCUGAAGAGGUGAUACAGGAUUAGAAGGCUAAUAAGGGUCUUUACCUAUUAACAGAUUUUAUUGAAAAGCACACACUUUGUGAACUGAAGACUUCUAAUUUUUUAUCACCAUAGAUUAAUGUGGCUUUCCUAUAAGUAGCAUUGAGGGUAAGUUGAAAAAGGUAUUGAUGUUGAGUCUGUGUUCACAGAUAGCAUCCCCACACAUUAACAUCCAUAUUUACAUAAAGAUAAGGCAUAUUACAUGAAAUGCUAGACCAGGGGUAGGCAACCUUGGCUCUUUUAUGACUCGUGGACUUCAACUUCCAGAAUUCCUCAACCAGCAUGCCUGGCUGAGGAAUUCUGGGAGUUGUAGUCCACGAGUCAUAAAAGAGCUAAGGUUGCCUACCCCUGUGCUAGACCCAAGUUUUCAUAAAGUAUGUCCACCUCUGUAAGGCAUACACAAAAAAGUAGAGCGUGAGUUGGUUUGGAUGGAAGCCAGGGGUUUUUUUCUCUCUCCAAGAAACUAAUUAGAUCCCUGGCUGCUUGGUUCUAAAACAGGUCUUCAAACUUGGCUCUUUUAUGACUUGUGGACUUCAACUCCCAGAAUUCCUCAGCCAGGAAUGCUGGUUGAGAAAUUCUGAGAGUUGAAGUCCACAAGUCAUAAAAGGACCAAGUUUGAAGACCCCUGUUCUAAAAGAACGAAACUGCCAGGAUCAAUGGCAAUUUUAAAGUUAUCAUUAAUUUACUAUUACAGGCUGAGCAAUAGCCUCUUGCCUAGAACUGGAGACAUUUCUGCUAAGCCUAGGAAAGGCUUAUACACAAAUGGAAAUGGAGGAAGAUUUUAAGGUGUUACCAUAAAUAUUCACAGAAGUUUGCAUUGUUAAAACAGCUGCUGCUUCAAUGUAGUUUUGGCAUUAAUUCCAUGGUGCUUCCAACACAAAAUAGUACUCAACACGUUGUACUGUCAUGCAUAUGUCUGUAUAGGUAAACACUCUGAAAAAUGGAGAUUAGAUGGAGACUCCUUUGUCAUGUAUUAUCUCAUAGAUUCUGAGAAUCUUCUUAUUGCAGCUAAAAUUAUUAAAGAAAAAACAGGAGAGAUCAAACACUUCCUAGAAUGACUGAAAUACACUUUUAUCAGGGCCAUGAUAAAAUUACUAUGAGCAAAGAUUGUUUUGUGGGUUAUUGUAUCAUCCAACAUGAACAUUACAUGUUGGACAUCUUGGAUAAGUAAAGAUGAAGGCGCUACCAUUAUAUUUUUGUUUGGUUGGUGGUUAACAACAUGUCCAAAGGAUGGACAUGUUGUUAACAGCAUGUCCAAAGGAUGACACAAAUCUCCCUCCUACCUCCAGUUCAUGAGCAGAAAUGACAUGUUUUGCCCUGGUGAAAAAAUAAUAAAAGUUUAACAGGAUGAAUUAUUAAAAGCACAAUAUUUUUAAUUGUAGUGGAUACAUAUUCAAAACUGCAUACUUUCUAUUUGCAUACUAUAAUGCAUGCAACAGAAAAUAAAAGGCCAGCAAUGUUGUUCUUAGACAUUACCUGAUAUAACAGCUUAAUUUUAGAAUAGUAUUCAAAACAAGUUGAACAAUAAUCUCAUGCAGAAAAGCUAAAUUCUCCAUUUGACAAACUGUAUUAGCAAUAGUGAACAAUCAGAAAAUUCAAAAAAAGAACUGCACAUUUUAUAGCACAAAGACUGCUCCAGAUAACAUUUGGAAACAACAUAAUAAUAGCUGAAGAAAGCAAAGAUAUUCAAAGGAAAAAAAAGUAACACUUUCAAUUCUAAUUUCUGAGUUAAGAGUAAUAAUGUCUGCCCGAAGUCGACAAAUACAUAGUUGUUGCUUCACAGUGGUCAGUAUAUAUGAAAGCCAUAGCAAUGCCUACAUUUGUAAAUAUAACAUAGAGCAUUAUAGUAUACUGGCUUUCUCUGUCUUGCUGUAGGAAUUUCCUAACAUAUUUAUAAAAUUAAUGUUUUCUAUAAAUGAUACCAGGUAAUUCAAAGGAAGACACUUUUUAGAUCAAUUAUUUUAUUCUAACAUAAAGCCUAAAAUGCUAAGAGCUACCUCACCCACAAGAUGGCGCUAACAAGAUUAAAAGAAUUUAAAUAAACAAACAUGUUAAUUAAUGUGAAAACUAUACUGCUGAAGCACACAUUCUCAUUCUUUUAACUUUCCAGAACAGCAAGUUUUCUAAAUUACUGAUGAAACUCUACGGUGAGGCUUACAGUUAGUAAAGGAUCAUCAUUUUACAAGAAUAUCUAAAAUGCUAAAACAACUUAGAUUCACAAGUUAAGCUAAAAGCAAGAAAGAGAGCUUGGGGAUUAUGUCAACUUUAAAACAAAGAAGAGAAGGUAGUCUUUCUCCUAGCAAAGAUAGUAUGAUAGCAACAGGAUUACAGCAGAACUCCUCAAAUCAUAUUUUUCUCUGGUUUUCUCUCUAAAAAGAGCUUUAGAUUUCUUUAUAUACGACUUAGAAGACAAUAUCAGGAUUUAGGAGGAUCUUGGCAAGUUGAAAAAAAUAGAUAAAAACCAGAAAGUUUAAUUUCAACAGGAAAAAUGCAACUCUAUAUUUGGGCAGAAAAACAACAAAAUCAUAAAUAUAGGGGAGAUAUACUGGGUAAUGGUACAUGUGAAAAGGAUUCAAGUAAAAUUGGUGAAUCAAAAGCUGAAUUUGAGCCAACACCAUAAUAUAAGUAAGACUACUAAAGUGUAAACAUCAAGAAAAGCACUUAUUUCUCUCUCUUCUGGAUUGGUCGAAUUUUCUGAACAAGACAUUUGAUAAAUUGGAGCAUGUCAAAUAGGGAGUAAUCAAAAUGAUAAAAGGAUUGGAAGGAAACUCAUCAGAAAAAGUUGGAGACACUGUUAGCUAUAAUUAUCUUCAAGUAUCUGAAAGCCUGAAGAAGAUGUGGCAGAUAUAUUCUAGUUGGGAGGACAAGAAACAAGGGAGUUAAACCAUAAGGAAAUAGAUUUUGAUUGGAGAUCAGAAAACAUUUCCUAAUCAAGAGUUCCUCACCAAUGACCAUCUGGGAAGAUAGUAGAUUCUUCUUCACUGGAAUGUCUCAACAGAGGCUGCCCAGAAUUAUCUGUUUGAGAUGGGCAGCCAUAUAAAUGGAAUGAAUGAAUGAAUCUAUUGGGAAUGUUGUACUAGUGGAUUCCUUCAUUGAAUAGGUUUUUGAACUAGGUGAUCUUCCUUCUUAUUUUUCCAUUCUUUAUUAUAUUUAUGAUCCAUGUUCAUUUUAAACGCUGCAUAGAUUAAUCUAUACUAUUCUGAAUAAAGAGCAAGUGACCUGGCUAAUUCUAUGUGUGUUCUAAGUCAGUGGAAACAGCCCAUCAAUUCAAACCUUCCUUGUUGCCAUUUAAUUCUGAUAAUUUACAGGGGCUCAAUCUUGAGACUCCAAGGCUACAUUUACCUCUGAAAGCUUUAUAUGUGGCUCCCAGAGAUAUUCAAAAGCUGUCACCAAAUUGUGCAUUUUUAUCUAAAAGCAAGAAAUUAUUAAGUAAACAUUUGGGAACCAAUUGUACUAACUAUACUUAAAUUUAAUCUAGUUAAAAUGUAAUUUGUAUUUGGUUUGACUACUACUUUUCUUAAUGUAGUACCAAAGAUGCUAUUAAGAGGUCAGGUGUGGUGUAACCUCAAUCAAGUUAUAUAUUAUUUGCCAGAUAUUAAAAGUAUUUACAAAAAUUUAAA